UUUUUUUUUUGUUCAGUUUUAAGCUUGUCUUAUGAUGGACUGUUACAGCAAGGAAAUAUUGAUAUCUUCACCCAACUAAAGCCUUAGGAAUACUAAUACGCAACACAAACUUGGAGUUUCACAUGUCUAAAAGUACUAUAAGAUAAUCAUUUAACAACUUACCACUUCGUUUGACAAUCACCAACCAUUAUAAACUUUCAAGAAAUGGAAGAAGAAUAAUACCAUUCAAUGUUUGACUAACAGCAGAAAUGAUGAAUACACCAUUUGGAGUUCAUUAACACGUGAAAAUAAGCUCUUUUAUGGUUGGUUAUUAUGGUUGGUUAGAGAAACUCCUCCUUUCUGCUCUACCAUUCUCCACCAACCAAUAACAUUACCAGAAAAGCAUAAGAGCUUCCUGCACAAUCUCCAUACAUGUCCACUCACCAACUAGUAUUUAUAGGAAUACAAAUCUAACCAACUAUUUACAAGAAUACCCUUACUAAUAUAUUAUCUACAAGAAUACUAAUGUUCUCCUAACACUCCCCCUCAAGUUGGAGCAUAUAUAUCAUAAGCACCCAACAUGUUACAAAGGUAUUUCACCCUAGAGCCCCCUAAACUCUUGGUAAACAAAUCAGCCAAUUGAUCUGCAGACGGUACAUGAGAUGUCUUGAUGACUCCGUCAAGUAAUUUCUCUCGAAUGAAAUGACAAUCAACUUCAAUAUGUUUUGUCCUUUCAUGAAACACUGAAUUAGACGCAAUAUGGACAGCCGCCUGAUUAUCAUACACUAAAUUCAUAGGCUGUUUAUACUCAAACCCAAUUUCAAGUAACAUGCUUUUCAACCAAACCAACUCACACACAGUGUGAGCCAUAGCACGGUAUUCAGAUUCUGCACUUGAUCUGGAGACAACUGUUUGCUUCUUACUCUUUCACGACACUAAAUUACCACCAACAAACACACAAUAUCCUGUGGUCGAUCUUCGAUCUGAGGCAGAACCGACCCAAUCUGCAUCACUAUAUCCUUCAAUAUCAGUGUGUCCAUGAUUUUGAUACAGCAACCCUUUUCCAGAAGCACUCUUAAGAUACCUGAGAAUCCGUAUAACAGCAUCCCAAUGACUAGUACGAGGAGUAUCAAGAAAUUGACUCACAACACUCACUGCAAACGAAAUGUCAGGUCUCGUUACAGUAAGAUAAUUUAAUUUACCCACAAGUCUUCGAUAUUGCCUAGAAUCAUCAAGUAAUGCACCUUGAUCUCCUACUAAUUUCAGAUUAGGAUCCAUAGGAGUAUCCACAGGUCGGCAACCUAACAUCCCAACUUCACUCAACAUAUCGAGUACAUAUUUCCUUUAACAUAAAUAAAUCCCAUAUUUAAACCGAGCUACCUCAAUACCCAAAAAAUACUGUAGAUGAUCUAAAUCCUUUGUCUGAAAGUUUGCCUGUAGAUUGGAUUUAAAUUUCUGGAUCCCCACAACAUCAUCACCUGUAAUCACAAUACCAUCCACAUAAACAACUAAUAAAAUUUUACCAGCAUUAGAAUGCCAAGAAAAUACAGAAUGAUCUACUCCACAUCUUGUCAGACCGAACUCCAUGACAACACUACUAAACCGGCCAAACCAAGCCCUCAAAGACUGUUUCAAUCCGUACAAGGAUUUUUUCAAAUGACAAAUCAAUCGCGGAUUCUCCCCCUGAACAACAAAUCCAGAAGAUUGUUCCAUAUAUACCUCUUCUUCCAAAUCUCCAUGCAAAAAUGCAUUUUUCACAUCCAACUGAUGCAAUGGCCAAUUAUAAGUGGCUGCUAAAGAGAUAAGAAGACGAACAGAGGUAAUCUUUGUAACAGAAGAAAAUGUCUCGAAAUAGUCGAUUCCAUACACCUGGGCAAAUCCUUUAGCUACCAGACGAGCCUUCAAUCUAUCAAUAGAACCAUUAGGUUGUACUUUUAUAGUGUACACCCAUUUACAACCAACAACCGUCUUACCAGAAGGAAGAGGAACAAGAUCUCAAGUACCAUUUUUCUCCAAAGCAAGCAUCUCUUCUUGCAUAGCUAAUCUCCAACUAGGAUCAUUGAGAGCAUGGGUAAUAGACUUAAGAAUGGAUACCGAAUCAAGGGAAGCAACAAAAGAAGAAUAUGACAGAGAGAGACAAGAAUAAGAGACAAAAUUAGAAAUAGGAUGAGAAGUACAAUGUCUCUUACCUUUACGUAAAGCAAUAGGAAGAUCGGACUCACAGGAGGGCGUUAUACCUGGAUUUGAAGUUUGAGAGUUAAUUGGUGAAGUGCGUAGCAUAUCAGGAGCUUUCUCAACCAUGGAACGAUGAGAAUAUACUUGAAAAUUAGGACGAGAUAAUCGAGUUGUGGAAUCUGGUGAAUUAGAUAACUCAGGUAAUAAAGGUGAAGGAACUGGCAAAACAGGAGAAGGAAAAGAGGAACACUGGUCUAACUCACAAGAUAUACCUUGCUUCAUAAAAUAAGGAGUGGAUUCAAAGAAAGUAACAUCAGCACAAGUAAAAAAACGAUUUAAAAUCGGACUGUAACAUCUAUACUCCUUUUGCGCUCGUGCAUAUCCUAAAAAAAUACAUUUAAUGACACGAAAAUCUAAUUUAUCCACCCCGGGAGCAAGCUGAUAAACAAAACACACACACCCAAAAAUACGAGGAGGUAAUUUAAACACAGAUUCAUGAGGAAAAAGAACGGAGUGAGGUAAUUGGCCUCCAAGAAUAUUAGAUGGCAUGCGAUUAAUUAAAUAACAUGCAGUUAGAACUGCAUCACUCCAAAAUUGUUUGGGCACAUUCAUGUGCAACAUAAGUGUCCGAGCAACCUCGAUUAAGUGUCCAAUCUUUCUUUCAGCAACUCCAUUCUGUUGUGGAGUGUGAGGACAAGAGGACUGAUGAAUAAUACCGGACUUAGUCAUGAAGGUAUUAAAAGGAGUGAAAAAAUAUUCUUUCGCAUUAUCACUGCGAAGUAUACGUACAGACACACCAAAUUGAUUUUUUAUUUCUGUAACAAAUGCACAAAAAAUGGAAUAUAGUUCUGAACGAUCUUUCAUUAAAUAAAGCCAUGUAACUCUUGAAAAAUCAUCAACAAAGAUUACAAAAUAUUUAAAACCUAACUUUGAAUCAACUCGACUAGGACCCCAAACAUCAGAAUGAACUAGCAUAAAGGGUUCAGAAACCCGUUUAUUGACUCUAGGAGCAAAAGAAACACGAUGAUGCUUUCCUAAUUGACAAGACUCACAUUCUAACGAAGACAACUGACUCAAAGUAGGAACCAACUUUUUCAAAUUUUGUAAAGACGGAUGACCCAAACGACAGUGAAUUUCAAGAGGAGAAACAGUAGCAGGACAUGCAAUCGGACCAUUGAAGUUAAGAAAAUAAAGACCAUUAUGCUCAUGCCCUCCACCAAUCGUCCUCUUUGUCUUCAAAUCUUGAAUGACAACGAAAUCAGGAGAAAAAAUAACUGAGCACUGUAGAGAUUUAGUGAGCUUACUAACAGACAUUAGAUUAAAGGGCAAAGUGGGUACGUAAAGAACAGAAGACAGCGGAAGAGAUGGGUUAACUUCUACAGUGCCUAGUCCUUUAACUUUAGUGGUAGAUCCAUCAGCUAAAGUAACAUGAGAAAAGGAAGUAGACUCUUGAAAAUUAGAAAAAUUUUUAGAGGUACCUGACAUAUGAUCAGUAGCCCUGGAGUUAAUAAUCCAUGGGUCAUUACCUUUUUGUGCUAAAGAAGCAAAGGGAAGAGAUGCGUGAUUUGUAGCUUGGUACUAUAGGAAUUUAACAUAAUCUUCCUCGGAUAUAGUAACAGUCUUCUGGGACCCAUAUGCUGAAGAACUUGAUUCAACUUGAUCAGUGGUAACCCUAUUAGCAAAACUUUCAACCAUAGCCAAUAUCACUUCAAACAAAAGAAAAGGUCAAAACUCGAGAUGAACAGUGCUGCGUGAACAGUGCGCCGUAAACAGUAACAGCGUGAACAGUGCCGCGGUGAACAGUAACAGCGUGAACAGUACUUUGCUAGAUGUUUAACCCUAACCCUAGGACUUUUGCUCUGAUACCAUGUUAACAGGUAUCUUGGGAGGAAAACAUCUAGUCACCGUAUUAUGAGUGACCAACUAGUAUUUAUAGGAGUACAAACCUAACCAACUAUUUACAAGAAUACCCUUACUAAUAUUUUAUCUACAAGAAUACUAAUAUUCUCCUAACACUACCAUUCUCCACCAACCAAUAACAUUACCAGAAAAGCAUAAGAGCUUCCUGCACAAUCUCCAUACAUGUCCACUCACUUCUCAAAUAAUCUAUUUCUGAUAAACCUGUAAAUAACAACUCCAAGUCCAAGCCUUCUCAAAGCAGGCUGAGCACUUUAGUUUGCAAACAUACGCGUGAAAGUAUUGUCACAGGUGAAGGUCAGUAUUUAACCUAUGACCUCUUACCAAUCAAUUAAUACCAUCAACACCCCAAUAAAUAGGUAAAACCAUUCAAGUAUGAGAAAGAAAGAAGUGGUCAGAGAAAGUAAGGUAGUCUUAGGAACCAUUACUGCCUUCAAGGCUCCAACUAACCAACAAGCCAAGUCAAAGAUUAAAAUAUAGGAUAUCUAAUGUCAAAAUAAAAUUAAGAAAGUGAAAAACAGACCAAGUAACGGUACUUAAUUGCUGUAUCUUGAAUAUUCUCCUGUAAUUUGAAAGGAAGAAUUUUUAUCUCCAAGACUUCUUCCUAAGAAUCAUCAGGACUAUACCAUACUGAAGUUUUUUCUUUUCUCUCAAUAGUUCAUAUUGCUGAGACUGUGUAUCAAACACACCAUCUUAGAUCCUAUCUAUUAUACACCAUAAAGUUAAAUGCAUAGUAGAAAGGAAGUCAAAUGCAGGGAUGAGUACUGUCAAGGAGAGAAAUACUAAAGCUAUACAUUUUGCAUGUCAGGUAACUACUCAUACCUACAGAAAAAAAUGAAAAAAAAUGAAAAAAAGAACAAGAAGAAGAAGAAGAAGAAAAGACUAGCAAGCACAAUAAUGAAGGAACAUAACAAUCUCAAUCAAGAAACUUAUACAAACUUUGUCACCCAAACUGUUCCUGUUCCUCUUUGAUUUGAGAAAUCAAGUAUGCUUUAGCAUACUUUUGGGUAAUACGGUAUCCCGACUGACCCAAAGCAAAACAAAAAGAAAAUCAAAAACACAAAAUCCAAAUGAUUCUUAAAUUCCAAAGGAAGAUAUCACUGCAGCAUUUGUAAUGCUCUUUCAAAACUCAUAGAAAAAGGUUAGCAGGGAAUUA
rnacentral:lncRNA from 1 species